rnacentral:rRNA from 1 species
CACAUGCAAGUCGAACGGUAGCACAGGGGAGCUUGCUCCCUGGGUGACGAGUGGCGGACGGGUGAGUAAUGCUUGGGAAUUUGGCUUAUGGAGGGGGAUAACUACGGGAAACUGUAGCUAAUACCGCGUAAUGUCUACGGACUAAAGGGUGGGACUAUUUGGCCACCUGCCAUGAGAUGAGCCCAAGUGGGAUUAGGUAGUUGGUGGGGUAAAGGCCUACCAAGCCGACGAUCUCUAGCUGGUCUGAGAGGAUGACCAGCCACACUGGAACUGAGACACGGUCCAGACUCCUACGGGAGGCAGCAGUGGGGAAUAUUGCACAAUGGGGGGAACCCUGAUGCAGCCAUGCCGCGUGAAUGAAGAAGGCCUUCGGGUUGUAAAGUUCUUUCGGUGAUGAGGAAGGCAGGUAUUUUAAUAGAAUACUUGAUUGACGUUAAUCACAGAAGAAGCACCGGCUAACUCCGUGCCAGCAGCCGCGGUAAUACGGAGGGUGCGAGCGUUAAUCGGAAUAACUGGGCGUAAAGGGCAUGCAGGCGGUUGUUUAAGUGAGAUGUGAAAGCCCCGGGCUUAACCUGGGAAUUGCAUUUCAGACUGGACAGCUAGAGUACUUUAGGGAGGGGUAGAAUUCCACGUGUAGCGGUGAAAUGCGUAGAGAUGUGGAGGAAUACCGAAGGCGAAGGCAGCCCCUUGGGAAUGUACUGACGCUCAUAUGCGAAAGCGUGGGGAGCAAACAGGAUUAGAUACCCU